rnacentral:rRNA from 1 species
GAUGAACGCUGGCGGCGUGCCUAAGACAUGCAAGUCGAGUGGGUUUAGACCCACGGCAAACGGGUGAGUAAUACCUAGGAACGUACCAUAAGUCGAGGAUAACCCAUCGAAAGGUGGAAUAAUACUCGAUGUGACCGCAAGGUUAAAGUCGCAAGACGCUUAUGAAGCGGCCUGGGCACCAUCAGCUAGUUGGUAAGGUAAUGGCUUACCAAGGCUAUGACGGUUAGGGUCCCGAGAGGGAUAACCCCCACACUGGAACUGCGACACGGUCCAGACUCCUACGGGAGGGCAGCAGUUUGGGUAAUUUUGGUACAAAUGGCGGAAAGACCUGAU